rnacentral:lncRNA from 1 species
AAACAAAAAGUGGAACUUCUACCAGAAGCAGACUACAAUCAAGUGCUGAUCAUGAAGUUUAGAUCGACGAUGGACCCCAUAGACGACGGUGGUCCCAAAAGGAACGUUUGAAAAUAGCGCUGACAACUCUCUGGAGAACUGGAAUCCCAUCCCCGUGGAAGGAGAAGAAGGUUUGCUCUGACAAUCCCACUCAAACGACGCAGCUCGAGUUUCUCCUCUCUCCUCAAGCUGCUGUUCCGGGGUGAGGUGGUGCCUGCAUCCAGGGUCAAGAAUGUAGCGCUCUGCUGUGAUUUACUGCUGAAUGUCACCCAGUCACAGAAUCCUACUCCAGAGUAGGAAGAGCCCAGCGUGCAGCACAGAGUGGUCCUCUCAGUCUGGACUUUGUGGUGUGGAAGAGCGGAGGAUCCCGUCUACAAGGUCUGGAGGAGUGGGGUGUCCCAGCACUUCUCAUCCUGGUCACCAGACACUGCAGAGGAGGAAAAAUAAUUUUCUCUCCACUCUUUAUGAUGCUUUUCUUCAAAAACACAAAAUAUUGCAGAGACAGCCACAGUCACAGACCGACCCACAUCUCAUUCCCUCCCUCCUCUACUGAAGCUAUUCUGCGUCAUUCCCAUGCAAAGUUUUGAACUUUAGUGAUAAAUGCAUGUCUCUAUAUGCA